GUAGGUGAACCUGCGGAAGGAUCAUUAAUAAAUGCUUCAUUGCAUCCACCUUUUGUGCACUGUAAAUAUUUCACUUGAAUUUUGUCUGAUUAAUCUUUGUUCUGAAAGGAACGUGAAUUAUAAUCUAAUACAACUUUCAACAACGGAUCUCUUGGUUCUG
rnacentral:misc_RNA from 1 species